CGUAGCCAAAUGCUUGUACGGGGACCAUUUUCUAAAUGCAUUUGAAGAACUGUUCUUACAGUAUUACAGCGAAUACGCAAAUGGCCCUUAAUUCUGAUGAGACACAGAAAAAUGUGGCAGCAUAUCAACAGAAAAGGAGAAACAGAACGGAAAGAAGGAAAAAAAGAGACGUGCAUUGGAGAUGUGAUGUCUUGGAGACAAAUAUGUCAAGGUCAGGCUCUUGAACGGAUAAAAAUGAUAGUAUUGCAAUAUACCACGCCUGACAGUAAGCGCAAUCCUACGAGGUCAAAAAAAAAUGAUCAGGAAUUGGCACAAUCAAAGCACGACGACCCAUCAAUUAUAACUACUGCACGGGGGUGCAGGCCGAAUACAGAACGGCGUCCUCUUGUGCUUCGCACCUAGCCGCGGGGCCGUGCAACAGAGGCCAUUUGUCACGCAGUCAUGCGCUCCCAUUCCUAAAGACAACGAUCGUACGUACUACAAAAAAAAAAAGCCGAUAAAGCUUCUGCCUUUCGUUCCGGCCGUGAUAACGAGGUAACGCGCACGCUAAGGAAUCACACGUAGCGAAAGCUUGUUUCCCUCCCUCUCUUUCCAUCGCAAUUUCUUUAUCAAACGACAAGUUUGACGAGUUGCUGGGGCUAUCAUCUUCGAAAUCAGCGUCUUUAUCUUCGUUCCAUUCCGCGGUGUUCGAUUUACUCAAUUUCUCAGCAUUUGGGCGUUGCCUUCGCCGCGGAAGCGCGCCAUGCAGCCUGAACUGAUAUCGGAGCUUGCGUUCACCUUGGCCGCCAUUUUGCCAUACGACGGUGCAGGCGGUUGCAUGCAAGAAUGCUUUGGUGAAUAGCUUUUGCUUCAGCCGUAAGACUGGAAUUCACGUCGCUUGUUUCGAAGGCUCCCCAGAGUGACUAAAAUAAUGCUGGCUUCUCAUUUAUGUUGGAUAUUCCGGCGGUUCAAUGCUUCGAACAAAGGGUGUACGGACAGCACGGUAAAGCUACGUUUCCCAGCAGACGAGGCCGCAACAUUUUAAAAGCUGCCACAAGUUGACUGAAAGAAUGCUGGUUGCUCGUGGACUGCAUGGCCUCCUCGUGGCUCAUGGUUCCAGCAUUGCAGGGACCGACAGCCGGGCAAAGUGCUGCUUCGCUGCAGACGAGGUGGCAUGCAUCAGUCAUUCUGAAGUGGUAACAUGGGCCAGCUGGGACAUUGCGGGUUAUGAAACAGCGGGAUCAUGCAGGAAAGAAAUUCUACUCCGGACCAGCCAUGCCGAGAACAAACGAUCGAAGUUCUUUGAACGUGCUGUUGGUCAAAGGCGAUGCUCGCCUUUCGUGCCGCCUCACCUGGUCAAGCACUGGAGGACGCAUAGGUGGCCUGACUAUGCCAAUUAGGCCAGCAAGGUGAGCGCACUGAAGACGUGAUGAGUUGCGUCGUAAUAUUUCUAUUGCCUUUCAUUCCGCCAAGUAACUGCAUCUAAAACAAUUUCACGCGCACUAAACUGUACGAGGAAUGGUUAGUCGUUUGAUCAGCCACGUAAACUGCUUCAAACAUUCGCCUGCUAGAUGAACGAGUACGUUGUCAUGAGCGUACAAACAAUUAUGAACACAUCUCACUCGGUGGCCAUG